rnacentral:rRNA from 1 species
UAGGGAAUAUUGCACAAUGGAGGAAACUCUGAUGCAGCGACGCCGCGUGAGUGAUGAAGGACUUCGGUUCGUAAAGCUCUGUUGCAAGGGAAAAAGCAAGUGAUGGUACCUUGUGAGGAAGGGUCGGCUAACUUCGUGCCAGCAGCCGCGGUAAGACGAGGGACCCUAGCGUUGUUCGGAAUCAUUGGGCGUAAAGCGGGUGUAGGUGGCUUUGUAAGUCAGGUGUGAAAGCCCAGGGCUCAACCCUGGAAGUGCAUUUGAUACUGCGAAGCUUGAGUGCUGGAGAGGCUAUUGGAAUACCUGGUGUAGUGGUGAAAUACGUAGAUAUCAGGUGGAACACCGGAGGCGAAGGCGGAUAGCUGGCCAGACACUGACACUCAGACCCGAAAGCGUGGGGAUCAAACAGG